UACGAAGGGUGCAAACGUUGCUCGGAAUUACUGGGCGUAAAGCGUGCGUAGGUGGUGAGUUAAGUCUGUCGUGAAAGCCCCGGGCUCAACCUGGGAAUGGCGAUGGAUACUGGCUCGCUAGAGUGCGGUAGAGGAGAGUGGAAUUCCCGGUGUAGCAGUGAAAUGCGUAGAGAUCGGGAGGAACAUCAGUUGCGAAGGCGGCUCUCUGGACCAGCACUGACACUGAGGCACGAAAGCCAGGGGAGCAAACGGG
rnacentral:rRNA from 1 species